rnacentral:lncRNA from 1 species
GGGAUGAAACAUUCGAGAAAUGAAGCGCACUGUUGGUGGCUUAUUUGGAUAAUCUUCUGAAAACUGAAGAGUCAGCUUGAACGUGCCUGAGAUUCAUAUAUUGUCAAGGACAUUACAAUGCAACACCUCGAUAAGAUAAAAUUAUAACUCUGAGAAGCUAAUACGUCUACUAGUAACUGAAGAACACCUAAAACUCCAUCAAACAACUAAGCGACAAAAGCACUGUUCAUAGGCCUGUAAAUGAACCGAACGUUCAUGAACUGUUUGUGAAUCGUUUGGCGGGAAGUUCAUUUAUAUUCGUUUAUUUAAUAAACAUGAACAAAAAUGUUUGUUCAUCCAAUUAAAUGAACGAACAUGAACACACGUUUUGUUCAUUUAUUUAUGUCCGUGAACGUUCGUUCAGUUAUGUUUGUUUAUUUAUUUCCGCAUAAAUUUGUUUAAAUUUUAAUAAAAGGCUUUCUAACUACUUAUAUAAAUAUAACUAAUUAGUAAUUGGGCUUUCUAGUUAUAAAAAUGGGGUUUCCAAUGAAACUUAUCGUAAUUAAUCACUAAUUAUAUAUAAAAAAAAUUGCUUAUUGUUGGUAUGUAUGGGCCCUAAUAUCACUUUGCAGACAGCUGCUCUCAACCUCUUCCAUUUGUGUUUUAAAUGAACGAACAUGCCCAUUUUCUUACUUUUGUUAAUGAACAAAAAAAACUGUUCGAUUGUAUGCUCGCGUUUGGUUAAAAGUCAAACGAACGAACACAAACAUGCUCUCUUGUGUUUGUUCGGUUCAUUUACAGGCCAACUAUUCAUACUAUGAGCAGAAAACCACACUUAGGACACAAAAUGCAUAUGCUAGAAUAAAAAGUUAGUAUGUAUAGAACUAUGGAUAGCCCCUAACUUCA